UCCACAACGCAUUUGUUCCUGAGGUCAGUUUAGUCACUAGCCAGGCCGAUAAACAAGUACAGCCCGGAAGUAAACUGCGGGCCUGACGCGUAACCGUGGCAACGCGCGUGCUUCCGAUGAAACCAAAUCCUCACAGCAGUGAUCCAUGCUCACUGUCUCUCCUCGUCUUUUGGAAACCAAAACUUUUUAUUUUCCACCACGUAUUUGUUCCAGAGGUCCGUUUAGUCGCUAGUAGCCAGACCAAAUUAUAGUAGCCUAUCUCUGGUCAGACCAAUAAACAAGCACAGACCGGAAGUUAGCUCCGUUUCGUAACCGCGGCAACGCGCGUGCGUCCGAUAAGACGUCUACUUAACUGUGGACAAUGUUCCACAGUUUUACCACAACCAGAAAUAAAUUUGCCAUUUUGAACAAUAUUCUUUAUACUUUCUGUUAUAUAAUGCAAAUACAUUUUUAUAAUUUUUACCCAGUCUGCAAAACCCAGGUUAGCUGUGCCGUAGUGUUGGUCUCAUCUGUUCCACCAGGGCAGUCAGGAUUAUUGUCGCACACUUUGUUUAUGGGCACACACAUUGAAGAGCCAGGACACGGCCAUUCGCCGGGGAGAUGGGUGUCGAUAUCUUACCACAUCCAUUCUCAUCACUAAAGUCACCACAGUCAUUGAUGCCGUCACACACCCACUGCUGAGACAUACAGCGUCCAUUACUGCAGUCAUCCCAGUGAUCACAGACGAAGGGCAUAGGAAUACAGUAUCCAUUCGUGCAUUCAAACUGAAAACAAUACAGGCAGGGUCACAUAUAUUGCUUGGAUUCUUUGACACUCACUGCAAUUGGAUUCAUCCGAACCAUCCCGACAAUCUAGCAUCCCAUCGCAGUGUUGAGCGUUGUCGUAGCACGCUCCAUUAGCGCAUGUCUUCUCUGUGCAUGCUGGGUAGUCUGAAUUCAACAACAGGAAAUUUCACACUUUGGUGUUUUAUUGGCAUUCCAAAACCUGAUGAUCUUAGAUCUUUAUAGUGCGUUCCCUAGCAGCUAUUACUUGUCAUUCUAGUAACUGAUUUAUCCUGAGACUUUUAUGUGCUAAAUAAAUGUUGAAGUCAAGCAUUUUUAGUCUUGUAAAGAUAAUUGUGCUUAUGACUUUUAUGACAUUCAUCACAGGGCUGUUUGCAAUAAAUUUUUGCUUCGGUAAUUCAGAUUCUGUUUUGAAUAAUGCUGUACUCUGGGCAUUUCUAAAACAUUAGUGACACAAAUCUCA